CGCGGGGCAACCUGGCGGCGAGUGGCGAACGGGUGAGUAAUAUAUCGGAACGUACCCAGAAGUGGGGGAUAACGUAGCGAAAGUUACGCUAAUACCGCAUACGAUCUACGGAUGAAAGUGGGGGACCUUCGGGCCUCAUGCUUUUGGAGCGGCCGAUAUCUGAUUAGCUAGUUGGUAGGGUAAAGGCCUACCAAGGCGACGAUCAGUAGCUGGUCUGAGAGGACGACCAGCCACACUGGAACUGAGACACGGUCCAGACUCCUACGGGAGGCAGCAGUGGGGAAUUUUGGACAAUGGGCGCAAGCCUGAUCCAGCAAUGCCGCGUGAGUGAAGAAGGCCUUCGGGUUGUAAAGCUCUUUUGUCAGGGAAGAAACGGUGGGAGCUAAUAUCUCUCACUAAUGACGGUACCUGAAGAAUAAGCACCGGCUAACUACGUGCCAGCAGCCGCGGUAAUACGUAGGGUGCAAGCGUUAAUCGGAAUUACUGGGCGUAAAGCGUGCGCAGGCGGUUUUGUAAGUCUGAUGUGAAAGCCCCGGGCUCAACCUGGGAAUUGCAUUGGAGACUGCAAGGCUUGAAUCUGGCAGAGGGGGGUAGAAUUCCACGUGUAGCAGUGAAAUGCGUAGAGAUGUGGAGGAACACCGAUGGCGAAGG
rnacentral:rRNA from 1 species